GCUCUGGACGCAAGUAAUCAAGAAUAGGCUGGAUCGAGACAAGACAGCCUAUCCUGGAUUACUUGAAACCAGCAC